rnacentral:lncRNA from 1 species
UGCGCAUGCUCAAUGGAAGCAGACAAACCAUAAUAAAGUCUCUUUUUUUACACAAAACCAGUAAUCUGAGACAUAUUUCAGGGCCGGAUGAUCUAAAAAUAGGCAUUCUGUAAUGUUUUUCAGGUUGGCAACACCAGGCUGAAGUCUAAGACAUUACAGAGAAACAUUAUUGUGGCUGGUAGUUCUGGUAUCAAAGUAUUGGCUGGUGGGACUACAGAGGAAGAUCUGUCAUUAAGUGGCCUACAUUAUUUACUCAUCUUUGUACUGGCACUUAUUUGUGGAAUUUAUUGACACUGUCAAACAGCUGACAUUGUUGGACUGCUUCUCUAUAAAAUGAAACAAGUUUGAUUGACAGCUUCUGGACUCACAGUUUGCUUUGCAGUCGAUCCCUGUAUGUGGAUGUUACUGCAUUCCUACAGACACGUUUUCAUAUGGUCACAUAGAUAAUUUGAUCAUCUACAUCAACGUGGCAAAACUUGUUAGCAAGUUACUGCUAGUGUUGUAUGGCUUGAAAAAUAGCAUAAAGGUCAGCAUAAGGUUCUAACAUCUAGCAAAACAGUAAGUUGUGUGUAGCAGAAGGUCGUAAAAGCUAGCAAAAACAGCAAGUUGUGUCUCAAUAGGGAAUGAAUCAGGAUGGAAAAGUGACGUUUAAUUGCACAAAAUUGGAAUUUGAUGAUUUUUGAUACACACAUUGCCUUCCAAGAAACAAGUCAAUAUUGUGAUAUCAACAGAUGAAAGUUGAGAAAUGUCAGAAACUUUGAGUGUAAUUUAAUAGCAAUCAAAUGUUCCUGAAAAUGAAUCAUCCUACAACAUUUUGAAAUUCAGGGAGUUUUUGUGUGGAAUUCAAUUGUUGGGAUUUGGAACAGAACAAUGGCAGCUCUAUAAUUUGAUAAAUGGAAGAAAUAGCUACAGAAUUUUGUGAGAUUUCUUUGAAUAAUGUUAAUUCUGCAUUUGAGAGAGAUCACGCAAGUCUGCGUAAAUCACAAUGUCUCCAGUUGUCACAAGUAAUUCAUUUCUACAGCAAAUAAUGAAAAUCUGAACUGAAAAAGAAUUAUUGGGAAGGGGGAAAGAUGUAUUUACAUUUCGAACAAAACAUUUCCUCACGUACUGAGUGUACAAUACAUUCUCUGUCAUGGAUGGGAAAGGUUCCAGACUCGUUGUUGCCGGGAGAUACAAGUGGUGGCUGGAAGUUGAACCGUAGUCAGUAUUACAGUGAGGGAUGGUUGGCAAGCGGCAACGCAAAGGGUAUUGUAGGUGCGACUUUUACAGCGAGUCACUGCAGAAAAUACGAUCCUCCAAACAGAUCCAAUUUUAAUCUUCGUGGCCAUCGAUCAGAGGUGAGAUCUUUUCUGUACACUAAAAC